CUUUUAUCUUGACUACUUUAUCUCAUAGCUGGUUUAUAUGUUCACAUAGAAGAUCAAAUUUUUGCAUGUUUAUUUGUUGGUUAUAGAAGUAUCUUUUUUAGGAAGCAUCAACAAGGAUAUGAAUACAAUAUGAUACAGAUGCCAAUUUUUUAAAUUUAGGAUAUGAUACUGAUGUCAUGGAUACUUUAUUAAAAAUAUAUAAUGCCAACUUUUUGGAUAAAAUGAAAUCAUGUUGGUUUGGUAUUAUAAUAUAUAAAAUAGUUUUUUUAUAUAAAAGAUAUUUAUUUUAAAUUUAUGGGAAACCAUAAAUUAGUUUGAAUAACACCAAUAAUAACAAUGUUAAGAUUGCAUUCGUCACUUUGACAAUAUUCAUCAAUCAGAAUCCAUUU